rnacentral:rRNA from 1 species
UACGGGGGGAGCAAGCGUUGUUCGGAUUUACUGGGCGUAAGAGCGCGCAGGCGGUCGUUCAAGUCGCGUGUGAAAGCCCCCGGCUCAACUGGGGAGGGUCACGCGAUACUGAUCGACUCGAAGGCAGGAGAGGGUAGUGGAAUUCCGCGUGUAGCAGUGAAAUGCGUAGAUAUGCGGAGGAACACCGAUGGCGAAGGCAAUCCCCUGGGCCUGCACUGACGCUCAUGCACGAAAGCGUGGGGAGCAAACAGG